UACGGAGGGGGCAAGCGUUGUUCGGAAUUACUGGGCGUAAAGGGCGCGCAGGCGGCUGCUCAAGUCAGGCGUGAAAGGCCUGGGCUCAACCCGGGAAUUGCGCUUGAGACUGGGCUGGCUUGAGUGCGGGAGAGGAUGGUGGAAUUCCCAGUGUAGAGGUGAAAUUCGUAGAUAUUCGCAAGAACACCAGUGGCGAAGGCGGCUCACUGGCCCGUUACUGACGCUGAGGCACGAAAGCGUGGGGAGCAAACAGGG
rnacentral:rRNA from 1 species